UGUUCAAACAGGAAAACAAGAAAAAAGAAAUAGCUCACUUGUCCCAACAUAAGCCUAAAAAUGAUAAGUUGAAAUUCAGGGUUUGUUGCAUCACUUGUAGCUACAGGGGUUCUCUUAAUGGUUACACUGAAUUCUUUAAUGUUCGCUUCUGAUCCAAAAACUACUAGUAUUUGCCCAGGAUCUUAUCAUUUGGUCAAAACUCAAAAGUAUGCCUGAAUUAUAUAAUUCAAUCCAUUUUAGGUGCAGCUUUACAUUAUUCAAUAAUGAUAAAAAUUCCCUUGAAUAAAAUUCAUAAACAUGCCAGUGGUAAGAGAGAGUGAGAGAGAACAGAAGAAAAAUUAAAUGAAAGGGAAAAA
rnacentral:misc_RNA from 1 species